rnacentral:rRNA from 1 species
UACAGAGGGUGCAAGCGUUGUUCGGAAUUAUUGGGCGUAAAGGGCGCUUAGGCGGUGCGGUAAGUCAGAUGUGAAAUCCCGGAGCUUAACUCCGGAACUGCAUUUGAUACUGCUUUGCUUGAGGACUGGAGAGGAGAUCGGAAUUCACGGUGUAGCAGUGAAAUGCGUAGAUAUCGUGAGGAAGGCCAGUGGCGAAGGCGGAUCUCUGGACAGUUCCUGACGCUGAGGCACGAAGGCCAGGGGAGCAAACGGG